GCUAUAUUACAUGAAUUUAUUGUGAUGGUGUAGGCUACAUUACAUGGAUUUAUUGUGAAGGUGUAGGCUAUAUUACAUGGAUUUAUUGUGAUGGUGUAGGCUACAUUACAUGGAUUUAUUGUGAUGGUGUAGGCUACAUUACAUGGAUUUAUUGUGAUGGUGUAGGCUACAUUACAUGGAUUUAUUGUGAUGGUGUAGGCUAUAUUACAUGGAUUUAUUGUGAAGGUGUAGGCUACAUUACAUGGAUUUAUUGUGAAGGUGUAGGCUACAUUACAUGGAUUUAUUGUGAUGGUGUAGGCUACAUUACAUGGAUUUAUUGUGAUGGUGUAGGCUAUAUUACAUGGAUUUAUUGUGAAGGUGUAGGCACAUUUUACAUGGAUUUAUUGUGAAGGUGUAGGCUAUAUUACAUGGAUUUAUUGUGAAGGUGUAGGCUAUAUUACAUGGAUUUAUUGUGAAGGUGUAGGCUAUAUUACAUGGAUUUAUUGUGAAGGUGUAGGCUACAUUACAUGGAUUUAUUGUGAAGGUGUAGGCUACAUUACAUGGAUUUAUUGUGAUGGUGUAGGCUACAUUAAAUGGAUUUAUUGUGAUGGUGUAGGCUAUAUUACAUGGAUUUAUUGUGAAGGUGUAGGCUAUAUUACAUGGAUUUAUUGUGAUGGUGUAGGCUCCAUUACAUGGAUUUAUUGUGAUGGUGUAGGCUACAUUACAUGGAUUUAUUGUGAAGGUGUAGGCUAUAUUACAUGGAUUUAUUGUGAUGGUGUAGGCUACAUUACAUGGAUUUAUUGUGAUGGUGUAGGCUAUAUUACAUGGAUUUAUUGUGAAGGUGUAGGCUAUAUUACAUGGAUUUAUUGUGAAGGUGUAGGCUAUAUUACAUGGAUUUAUUGUGAAGGUGUAGGCUAUAUUACAUGGAUUUAUUGUGAAGGUGUAGGCUAUAUUACAUGGAUUUAUUGUGAAGGUGUAGGCUAUAUUAGAUGGAUUUAUUGUGAUGGUGUAGGCUAUAUUACAUGGAUUUAUUGUGAAGGUGUAGGCUAUAUUACAUGGAUUUAUUGUGAAGGUGUAGGCUAUAUUACAUGGAUUUAUUGUGAAGGUGUAGGCUAUAUUACAUGGAUUUAUUGUGAAGGUGUAGGCUAUAUUACAUGGAUUUAUUGUGAAGGUGUAGGCUAUAUUACAUGGAUUUAUUGUAAAGGUGUAGGCUAUAUUACAUGGAUUUAUUGUGAAGGUGUAGGCUAUAUUACAUGGAUUUAUUGUGAUGGUGUAGACUAUAUUACAUGGAUUUAUUAGACUUUUUAAAAAUGUAGAUGUUCCAAAGAUCUCCAUCAGUGGAGUUUCGCCGUUUCACUGUACCGGCCGUGUGGACUUAGACUUGCAUGGCUUAAUCUUUGAGACAAGCAUAUGCUACUGGCAGGAUCAACCAGGUAGCCACUCACAACAUAGAGGUUGUACCUAGGCACACUAAGCAAAGAACAACCAGGGACCGGUCCUAUCCCGUAGGCUAUGCGUGGAAGACAGGAGAUGCUAAAUGUGUUUAUGUUAAUUAACGGUAAAUUACUGAGACCGGCAGUUAUUUGCUUGACAAUCACCAGCGUAUGCAAUGUCAUUACCGCCACAGCCCCAUCUACAAGGUGUCGAAAGUGUUGAUGUCCUUUGGGUGGUGGACCAUUCUUGAUACACACGGGAAAGUGUUGAGAGCGGACAAAUCCAGCAGUGUUGCAUUUCUUGACACAAACCGGUGCGCCUGGCACCUACAUACCAUGUUCAAAAGGCACUUAAAUCUUUUGUCUUGCCCAUAUACCCUCUGAACGGCACACAUACACAAUCCAUGUCUCAAUUGUCUCGAGGCUUAAAAAUCCUUCUUUAACCUGUCUCCUCCCCUUCAUCUACACUGAUUGAAGUGGAUUUAACAAGUGACAAUAAGGGAUCAAAGCUUUCACCUGGAUUUCGCCUGGUCAAUCUGUCAUGGAAAGAGCAGGUGUUCCUAAUGUUUCGUACACUUAGUGUAUAUAUAUAUAUAAUGGAACAGAGCAGCUCAAGACUGAACAGCAGAGCAGAGUUUAAAAGACUUGAAGAGCCCAGGGAUAGACCCAAUAGACGGUCAUAAUGACACAGUGCAAGACACAAACCACAGAUGUCUAUGCAC